AGCAGUCGCCGCGGUAAUACAGAGGGUGCGAGCGUUAAUCGGAUUUACUGGGCGUAAAGCGUGCGUAGGCGGCUUCUUAAGUCGGAUGUGAAAUCCCUGAGCUUAACUUAGGAAUUGCAUUCGAUACUGGGAAGCUAGAGUAUGGGAGAGGAUGGUAGAAUUCCAGGUGUAGCGGUGAAAUGCGUAGAGAUCUGGAGUAAUACCGAUGGCGAAGGCAGCCAUCUGGCCUAAUACUGACGCUGAGGUACGAAAGCAUGGGGAGCAAACAGGAUUAGAUACCCCCGUAGUCCCUGUCUCUUAUAC
rnacentral:rRNA from 1 species